UUCACUGCACACCUGUGACAAUGAUGCUCACUUGGUGCUCUUGCCUUGCCAGUGCCCUGCCUCCAGCUGCAUGCUGUGCAUGGCAGGGCAUCCGGGACACUCUCAAGCCAGCUGAAGCAGUCCCAUAAUGGCUACCAGGCCUCAGCUGAGAUUGUCUGCACUUCAGAAGCGUCCUCCUAGCUGAGCAGCUUGUUUUAAAAGAUGUGUCAUCGAGAGUCCAAACAAGCUGCAACUAUUCACUUCAGGCCCAGUCUCUGUGGCUCUUCAGUACAGUGGCUCCCAUGAGGGUGCAGGAUGGAUAUGAUUUGGCUCCAGACCAGGCUCCAGCUCCAUCACCCUGCGUGCGCACCCCAGCUGCCCUCACCCCAUUGGACCCAGCGGAACCAUGCUGCCUACUUGCAGCAGCUCUUCCUGCUCCACCACAGUUCCCUCAUCUCUUGCUACGUUGUGCCACCAUGCUGUAGCCAGGAGCACAACCAAUCGUCUAGUUCUUGAUUUAUGAAGCAUCUGUUUUCUUAUGGCUGCAAACAGAAAGAAGUCUGAAGGGAGCUGUAAGUGGCUGCGUGCCCCUUCUGUCCAGGCCUGGUGGAACAGGUAGGGGCACCUGCUGGGGGCAGUGGCAGCAUGGAGUGUUGCCCGUGGUACCCCUAUGGUAGAGUCAAGAGAGGACCCUUUUCUCCUCAGUUAAGCUUUUUUCCUAACCAACAAGCAACAACAGCAAUACAAAUGGAGAAGGAGUUUGGCUCUUAGUUAGUUCUGGUGGUGUGGAAGAAGGGAAAUGCCUUGGAGAGAGUUUACUAUUCUAGUAAGUUAAUGGAUAGCUUUAACCUGCCCAUUUUAAACAUGUUUUGGGAGGGCAAGAAAAUGAUGA